rnacentral:rRNA from 1 species
GAUGAACGCUAGCGGGAGGCCUAACACAUGCAAGCCGAGCGGUAUUGUUUCUUCGGAAAUGAGAGAGCGGCGUACGGGUGCGUAACACGUGUGCAACCUGCCUUUAUCUGGGGGAUAGCCUUUCGAGAGGAAGAUUAAUACUCCAUAAUAUAUUGAACGGCAUCGUUUAAUAUUGAAAGCUCCGGCGGAUAGAGAUGGGCACGCGCAAGAUUAGCUAGUUGGUGAGGUAACGGCUCACCAAGGCGAUGAUCUUUAGGGGGCCUGAGAGGGUGAUCCCCCACACUGGAACUGAGAAACGGACCAGACUCCUACGGGAGGCAGCAGUGAGGAAUAUUGGUCAAUGGGUGCAAGCCUGAACCAGCCAUCCCGCGUGAAGGACGACUGCCUUAUGGGUUGUAAACUUCUUUUGUAUAGGGAUAAACCUACCCUCGUGAGGGUAGCUGAAGGUACUAUACGAAUAAGCACCGGCUGACUCCGUGCCAGCAGCCGCCGUAAAAC